rnacentral:rRNA from 1 species
UACGGGGGGGGCAAGCGUUGUUCGGAAUUACUGGGCGUAAAGGGUUCGUAGGUGGCCAACUAAGUCAUACGUGAAAUCCCUCAGCUUAACUGGGGAACUGCGUCUGAUACUGGUUGGCUUGAGUGCAGGAGAGGAACGCGGAAUUCCUGGUGUAGCAGUGAAAUGCGUAGAUAUCAGGAGGAACACCGGUGGCGAAGGCAGGUCUCUGGGCUGACACUGACGCUCAUGCACGAAAGCGUGGGGAGCAAACAGG